UGAAGGUCAGGCUGAAGACUUACCCGAUUAGCUGAGAGGUGGUGCAUGGCCGUCGUCAGUUCGUACUGUGAAGCAUCCUGUUAAGUCAGGCAACGAGCGAGACCCACGUCCACAGUUGCCAGCAUACCCUCCGGGGUGAUGGGUACACUGUGGAGACCGCCGCUGCUAAAGCGGAGGAAGGAGUGGGCAACGGUAGGUCAGUAUGCCCCGAAUCUCCCGGGCUACACGCGGGCUACAAUGGUUGGUACAAUGGGCAUCUACCCCGAAAGGGGAAGGAAAUCUCUUAAAGCCAAUCGUAGUUCGGAUUGAGGGCUGCAACUCGCCCUCAUGAAGCUGGAAUCCGUAGUAAUCGCGUUUCAACAGAACGCGGUGAAUACGUCCCUGCUCCUU
rnacentral:rRNA from 1 species